GAUGAACGCUGGCGGCGUGCCUAAUACAUGCAAGUCGAGCGAACGGACGAGAAGCUUGCUUCUCUGAUGUUAGCGGCGGACGGGUGAGUAACACGUGGAUAACCUACCUAUAAGACUGGGAUAACUUCGGGAAACCGGAGCUAAUACCGGAUGAUAUUUUGAACCGCAUGGUUCAAAAGUGAAAGACGGUCUUGCUGUCACUUAUAGAUGGAUCCGCGCUGCAUUAGCUAGUUGGUAAGGUAACGGCUUACCAAGGCAACGAUGCAUAGCCGACCUGAGAGGGUGAUCGGCCACACUGGAACUGAGACACGGUCCAGACUCCUACGGGAGGCAGCAGUAGGGAAUCUUCCGCAAUAGGCGAAAGCCUGACGGAGCAACGCCGCGUGAGUGAUGAAGGUCUUCGGAUCGUAAAACUCUGUUAUUAGGGAAGAACAUAUGUGUAAGUAACUGUGCACAUCUUGACGGUACCUAAUCAGAAAGCCACGGCUAACUACGUG
rnacentral:rRNA from 1 species